rnacentral:rRNA from 1 species
UACGGGGGGGCAAGCGUUGUUCGGAAUUACUGGGCGUAAAGGCUCGUAGGCGGCCAACUAAGUCAGACGUGAAAUCCCUCGGCUUAACCGGGAACUGCGUCUGAUACUGGAUGGCUUGAGGUUGGGAGAGGGAUGCGGAAUUCCAGGUGUAGCGGUGAAAUGCGUAGAUAUCUGGAGGAACACCGGUGGCGAAGGCGGCAUCCUGGACCGAGAUUGACGCUGAUGCGCGAAGCCAGGGAGCAACGGG